GUGCUCGCUUUGGCAGCACAUAUAGUAAAAUUGGAAGAUAAGAGAAGAUUAGCAUGGCCUCUGUGCAAGGAUGACACUUGAAUUUGCGAAGCAUUCCAUAUUUUA
ensembl:snRNA U6 U6 spliceosomal RNA